rnacentral:rRNA from 1 species
AACUUUUAACAACGGAUCUCUUGGCUCUCGCAUCGAUGAAGAACGCAGCGAAAUGCGAUAAGUAAUGUGAAUUGCAGAAUUCAGUGAAUCAUCGAAUCUUUGAACGCACCUUGCGCUCUCUGGUAUUCCGGAGAGUACGCCUGUUCGAGUGUC